rnacentral:lncRNA from 1 species
GCGGACUCUCUAAAAUAAGAUGAUUUGAAAGAAUUUUGGGAAAGUACAAUGUACAAUAUGUGUGAGUAUCAAUUUUCAAAAUGAAGAAAAUAUGAACGGAAUGUCAAUUUAUAUAAAGCGAUAAACAAAUAAAUAAUUUAUGCCACAUAAACAAAAGAAAUCAAGAUAAUUAGUAUGAAACAAAUAACAAUAUUUAAAAACAUAAAUAUUUACCUAAAUCUAUAACGGUUAGAGCCAUUCUCAAUCCCCUGCAGAGUCGCCAAACUGUCAUACUCAAUUUUUACCUAAGGUCAAAACGAGCACGACAUUAUGAACUCAAAAAGAAUUAAUUUUGUACAGAGUCGCCAGCUAAUUUUUAAGGAAAAAUAGAAAACCUAUUUAUUUAUUUAACAAGUAUGACUUUAUUUCAAUCUACGAAACCAAUUUAAAUUCUAGGUAAGGGUUCGAAUUAUUUCGAAGGGAAGAGAUUAGACACCCUUCAAAAUGCACAAAUACGAUUUCCAACCAGUCAGGUUUAUUAAAAGAGAAAAAAAAAAUCAAUAUUUUAAAUGCAACUAUAAAAUGUGUAUUAAAAUAAUAUAGACAAUUUAAUAUAAAAGUAUGAAUUAUUUGAUUAAAUAUGUGAAUCAAUUUUAAUAUAAAAUGUUAACAGCCUAAAUUUGCCUAAACGCGCGAUGAAUAUUUGUAUAAAAGUAUUCUCACCCCACGCCCCAAAAAAUAAAAUUUUCACUAUAAUUGAUAUUUGUACAAUGAUAAGAAUAAAGGAAAAUACAAAUACAAAAAAAAUUCAAACUCUUCUUUGAAUAUCAUUUCCGGCUAGUAUUCCCGAGAACCAAAAGAAUAUCAUUCCCGACGAGUAUUCCCGAGAAUCUACACAAAUGCUUGUAAUAAAAAUAUUAGUAACAAAUAAAUAAUUAUCAAAAUAAAUUUAAAAGGUAUGUGUGCAUAUAUGUAUUUAAAAAUAUAUUUUUUUGCUAAAAAAAUAGGCUCAAAUUAGAUUUAAGAUACAACUUGGAUACGAAGUAGUUGCUGAUUUGUUAGCCAUCCUAAAAAAACUUUUUGCGUUGUUAUAAAAAUUUCAUCAUCGCCCAAAUUUAUUUAUUUUAUUACGUAUUUAUAUAUGCAAUAUCCGUCUUUUAUAAUGAGAUGACCUCAAAUAUCUAAUCGGAGAGAUAAUUUCAUUGGAGAAUAGCAUAGUAUUUGUUCGUUAUUAAUUUAAUAAAAUUAAUAUGGACAAAAAUGUAAUGUAAUUGCCCAAAAGAGAGACAAUAGCAGCCAUGAAACUAGCAUAGCAACAACCCAAAACAAAGGCAAUAACAACUAUGAUACCCGCAAAGAAACAACCAAAAUAAAGGUAAUAACUGCUAUGACACCAGCAAAGUAACAACCAAAAUAAAGGUAAUAACAGCUAUGAUACCAGCAAAGUAACAACGAAAAUACCCGAACAAAUCACAAAUCUACUAAAGAUUUGAAAAAAAAUGAUAUAAUGAACAACAACAAAUAGAUCAAGCAAAUAAUUACAACAUAUACAAAUAUGUAUCAAAGAAGAGGUCAUCGGAUACGACAUCUUGUCUGCCAGAUCCGUGUAAAACAAAGCCCACAACAUACAAAAUUAAUGAGACGCAGUUCAUCAGAAGUAAAACUCGAAGCAAUGGUAAUUACCAUUACCGGCGUUGCUUUAACGACUUUCGCCGAAGCAACGCCGGAUACACAAAGCUCCGGACAGAUCUGGUGGUUUCUCACUGGGGGGAUUCGCCGGAAAUGCAAAAAAGGAGGGCGGCGCCGGUAGUUUGGGCUAGAGCUCGCCGGAGAUGGAGGAAGAGGAUAGAAGGGAGAGAGGGGUGGUGGUGCCUGGUGGUUUGCCGAAAUUCGGCCAUAGCUCACCGAAGAGAGGAGAGAAAAAAAAGGUCCACUGAUUUUGUGCGUAUGUGCUUGUAUUUUGUGUGUAGUGUGUGGGUGGA